UUAACCCACAUAAAUAGGCAAUCGGCGUAAAGAGUGUUUAGGAUAUUAAAAAAAUGAAAAUAAAAAAUAAUAUAGCUGUAGAAAGCUCAAAUUAUAUAUUAAAAAUCAACUACAAAAGUGUUUUCAUAAAUUCUUAUUACACGUGAGCUAAGACCCAAACUAGGAUUAGAUACCCUAUUAUGCUUAGCCCUAAACUUAAAUAAUUAAUUAACAAAAUUAUACGCCAGAGAACUACGAGCCACAGCUUAAAACUCAAAGGACUUGGCGGUGCUUUAUACCCCCUAGAGGAGCCUGUUCUGUAAUCGAUAAACCCCGAUCAACCUUACCAAUCUUUGCUAAUUCAGCCUUUAUACCGCCAUCUUCAGCUAACCCUAAAAAGGAAAAAAAGUAAGCACAAUAAUCUAAAACGUAAAUAAGUUAGGUCAAGGUGCAGCCUAUAGAUUGGAAUUGAAAUGGGCUACAUUCUUUUUUUAAAAGUAUAACGGAAACUCCCAUGAAAUUGAGAGUUGAAGGAGGAUUUAGCAGUAAAUUAAGAGUAGAGUGCUUAAUUGAACCUGGCAAUGAAGCAUGCACACACCGCCCGUCACCCUCUUCAA
rnacentral:rRNA from 1 species